CAUGGUUCGUAGGUAGGCUUUGUACUUAAUGAGGACAAGUACAAAGCCUACCUACGAACCAUG
rnacentral:pre_miRNA from 1 species